GGCUCAGGAUGAACGCUGGCGGCGUGCCUAAUACAUGCAAGUCGAGCGAACGGACGAGAAGCUUGCUUCUCUGAUGUUAGCGGCGGACGGGUGAGUAACACGUGGAUAACCUACCUAUAAGACUGGGAUAACUUCGGGAAACCGGAGCUAAUACCGGAUAAUAUUUUGAACCGCAUGGUUCAAAAGUGAAAGACGGUCUUGCUGUCACUUAUAGAUGGAUCCGCGCUGCAUUAGCUAGUUGGUAAGGUAACGGCUUACCAAGGCAACGAUGCAUAGCCGACCUGAGAGGGUGAUCGGCCACACUGGAACUGAGACACGGUCCAGACUCCUACGGGAGGCAGCAGUAGGGAAUCUUCCGCAAUGGGCGAAAGCCUGACGGAGCAACGCCGCGUGAGUGAUGAAGGUCUUCGGAUCGUAAAACUCUGUUAUUAGGGAAGAACAUAUGUGUAAGUAACUGUGCACAUCUUGACGGUACCUAAUCAGAAAGCCACGGCUAACUACGUGCCAGCAGCCGCGGUAAUACGUAGGUGGCAAGCGUUAUCCGGAAUUAUUGGGCGUAAAGCGCGCGUAGGCGGUUUUUUAAGUCUGAUGUGAAAGCCCACGGCUCAACCGUGGAGGGUCAUUGGAAACUGGAAAACUUGAGUGCAGAAGAGGAAAGUGGAAUUCCAUGUGUAGCGGUGAAAUGCGCAGAGAUAUGGAGGAACACCAGUGGCGAAGGCGACUUUCUGGUCUGUAACUGACGCUGAUGUGCGAAAGCGUGGGGAUCAAACAGGAUUAGAUACCCUGGUAGUCCACGCCGUAAACGAUGAGUGCUAAGUGUUAGGGGGUUUCCGCCCCUUAGUGCUGCAGCUAACGCAUUAAGCACUCCGCCUGGGGAGUACGACCGCAAGGUUGAAACUCAAAGGAAUUGACGGGGACCCGCACAAGCGGUGGAGCAUGUGGUUUAAUUCGAAGCAACGCGAAGAACCUUACCAAAUCUUGACAUCCUUUGACAACUCUAGAGAUAGAGCCUUCCCCUUCGGGGGACAAAGUGACAGGUGGUGCAUGGUUGUCGUCAGCUCGUGUCGUGAGAUGUUGGGUUAAGUCCCGCAACGAGCGCAACCCUUAAGCUUAGUUGCCAUCAUUAAGUUGGGCACUCUAAGUUGACUGCCGGUGACAAACCGGAGGAAGGUGGGGAUGACGUCAAAUCAUCAUGCCCCUUAUGAUUUGGGCUACACACGUGCUACAAUGGACAAUACAAAGGGCAGCGAAACCGCGAGGUCAAGCAAAUCCCAUAAAGUUGUUCUCAGUUCGGAUUGUAGUCUGCAACUCGACUACAUGAAGCUGGAAUCGCUAGUAAUCGUAGAUCAGCAUGCUACGGUGAAUACGUUCCCGGGUCUUGUACACACCGCCCGUCACACCACGAGAGUUUGUAACACCCGAAGCCGGUGGAGUAACCUUUUAGGAGCUAGCCGUCGAAGGUGGGACAAAUGAUUGGGGUGAAGUCGUAACAAGGUAGCCGUAUCGGAAGGUGCGGCU
rnacentral:rRNA from 1 species